ensembl:lncRNA
AUUUAGUCUCCUUUGAUGACUCUUCGUUUCAGCACUUCUCACUUCUCUGAUUAAACUUAUUCUUUGAUGUUUUCCACAGGCAAAAUGCAGGCAGAGGACAUGGUUAGGGGACAAGGACCAUAUGGUCCUGCUCCAUUUCAAUCUGAUCCAUCAAACUGUUUGGAGAUUAGUGUCCCCUUGCCUGAAGAACCUGUAAUGACCUAUCCUGAACUUGAUGCUGAGGACUCAUGAGAAAUGCAGGUGGUGGACUUCCCCAGGGCACAGUGGAUGGGAAUCCAGUUGCAAAUGCAGAUUCCUCACCCUCUGAGCCACCAGGGAAGCCCUACUGAGCAACUACUGAAGUCCACUCGCCUAGAGCCCGUGCUCCACAACAAGAGAAGCCACCACAAUGAGAAGCCACACACCAAGCGAAGAGUGGUCGCUGCUCUCCAUAACUCAAGAAAUCCUGCACAAAAGCAAUGAAGACUCAGCACAGUCCAAUACAUUAAUAAAACCCAAGUGGUAAAUAGACCUUUUAAGUUGUCUGCCAAACCAAGCCCCUUUCUCUGAACCCUCUCCUCAACCAAGGGUGGCCCGUUUGCAGCCAAAUUUAUUUUAUACAAUCCCCACCCCCACCUCCAAUGCCAAAAUCAAAGCUGGGGUAAACACUUGACUCACUGAUCAAUUGGAUUUUCUCUCCUAGGAAUUAAAAUUGAAUGUAAAUUAGAAUAGUGGGUCUCUAAGCAUUUGACUAGAGGGCUAGAGCUAGG